rnacentral:rRNA from 1 species
GACGAACGCUGGCGGCGUGCUUAACACAUGCAAGUCGAACGGAAAGGCCCUGCUUUUGUGGGGUGCUCGAGUGGCGAACGGGUGAGUAACACGUGAGUAACCUGCCCUUGACUUUGGGAUAACUUCAGGAAACUGGGGCUAAUACCGGAUAGGAGCUCCUGCUGCAUGGUGGGGGUUGGAAAGUUUCGGCGGUUGGGGAUGGACUCGCGGCUUAUCAGCUUGUUGGUGGGGUAGUGGCUUACCAAGGCUUUGACGGGUAGCCGGCCUGAGAGGGUGACCGGCCACAUUGGGACUGAGAUACGGCCCAGACUCCUACGGGAGGCAGCAGGGGGGAAUAUUGCACAAUGGGCGGAAGCCUGAUGCAGCAACGCCGCGUGCGGGAUGACGGCUUUCGGGUUGUAAACCGCUUUCGCCUGUGACGAAGCGUGAGUGACGGUAAUGGGUAAAGAAGCACCGGCUAACUACGUG